AGAUUGAACGCUGGCGGCAGGCUUAACACAUGCAAGUCGAGCGGAAACGAUGGUAGCUUGCUACCAGGCGUCGAGCGGCGGACGGGUGAGUAAUACUUAGGAAUCUACCUAGUAGUGGGGGAUAGCUCGGGGAAACUCGAAUUAAUACCGCAUACGACCUACGGGAGAAAGGGGGCAGUUUACUGCUCUCGCUAUUAGAUGAGCCUAAGUCGGAUUAGCUAGAUGGUGGGGUAAAGGCCUACCAUGGCGACGAUCUGUAGCUGGUCUGAGAGGAUGAUCAGCCACACCGGGACUGAGACACGGCCCGGACUCCUACGGGAGGCAGCAGUGGGGAAUAUUGGACAAUGGGGGAAACCCUGAUCCAGCCAUGCCGCGUGUGUGAAGAAGGCCUUUUGGUUGUAAAGCACUUUAAGCAGUGAAGAAGACUCCGUGGUUAAUACCCACGGACGAUGACAUUAGCUGCAGAAUAAGCACCGGCUAACUCUGUGCCAGCAGCCGCGGUAAUACAGAGGGUGCAAGCGUUAAUCGGAAUUACUGGGCGUAAAGGGAGCGUAGGUGGCUCGAUAAGUCAGAUGUGAAAUCCCCGGGCUCAACCUGGGAACUGCAUCUGAUACUGUUGAGCUAGAGUAUGUGAGAGGAAGGUAGAAUUCCAGGUGUAGCGGUGAAAUGCGUAGAGAUCUGGAGGAAUACCGAUGGCGAAGGCAGCCUUCUGGCAUAAUACUGACACUGAGGCUCGAAAGCGUGGGUAGCAAACAGGAUUAGAUACCCUGGUAGUCCACGCCGUAAACGAUGUCUACUAGUCGUUGGGUCCCUUGAGGACUUAGUGACGCAGCUAACGCAAUAAGUAGACCGCCUGGGGAGUACGGCCGCAAGGUUAAAACUCAAAUGAAUUGACGGGGGCCCGCACAAGCGGUGGAGCAUGUGGUUUAAUUCGAUGCAACGCGAAGAACCUUACCUGGUCUUGACAUAUCUAGAAUCCUGCAGAGAUGCGGGAGUGCCUUCGGGAAUUAGAAUACAGGUGCUGCAUGGCUGUCGUCAGCUCGUGUCGUGAGAUGUUGGGUUAAGUCCCGCAACGAGCGCAACCCUUGUCCUUAGUUACCAGCGGGUUAAGCCGGGAACUCUAAGGAUACUGCCAGUGACAAACUGGAGGAAGGCGGGGACGACGUCAAGUCAUCAUGGCCCUUACGACCAGGGCUACACACGUGCUACAAUGGUAGGUACAGAGGGCAGCUACACAGCGAUGUGAUGCGAAUCUCAAAAAGCCUAUCGUAGUCCAGAUUGGAGUCUGCAACUCGACUCCAUGAAGUAGGAAUCGCUAGUAAUCGCGGAUCAGAAUGCCGCGGUGAAUACGUUCCCGGGCCUUGUACACACCGCCCGUCACACCAUGGGAGUUGAUUGCACCAGAAGUGGAUAGCUUAACCUUCGGGGGAGCG
rnacentral:rRNA from 1 species